UGUGUGCUAUUUGUGUUAGCUACAGUCUAAGGCAGUGUACCUAUCGAUGCAGUCUAGCACUAAUGGUGAGUAUCAAGGUCGUAUUCCUCGAGAAAGUGAAAUCCCAGAGUUACUCCUUUGUUCUUUGUUAUAUUAACCUAAAAUAAAUGAUGAAUAAUUUCUAAACUAACUAGUAACUACAAGCUAAGUUCUAAGGGAGAUGCAGGAGUAAUUGAU
rnacentral:lncRNA from 1 species